AACACAUAUGCAUAUCAAUUGUCUGAUCGAAAUUUUGGCAUAUUAUCGAUACACCUGGGGGAUAGCCCCUCUCUCUGCUAAAUCGAGUGGCCUGUCAAGCGUCAGUCGGACGGAAAUGACAGGAGGCGACAGCUAGAGUGAGUGAGACAGUGAGCGGGUUUACGAGAAAAAGUCCACGUUCAUUAAAGGGCGAAAGCCUAUGUAAUUAAAGAUAUAUCCAAGUACUAUAAUACCACCUCAGUGUCUCAGAUCUCGGUUUAGUGAAAAACUUCCUUUGCAAGUCUACCCAGUCUGUCUCAGAUCUCGGUUUAGUGAAAAACUUUCUAUGCAAGUCUACCCCAAGUUCCUGUCAAAUAGGCCUGAUUUGUGAAAAAAAAAGAAAAACGAGCUCGUAAUAUUAUAAUCGUGCCGCUGUUUUUUCGUUUUCAAUUCUCAAAUCUUUAAGCAUGGGACUACGAUAUCGGAUUCGGUACUGCAAAUAAAACGGAGAAUUAGUGGAUACAAGGAAUAAUCCUAAGGCGGAAUUAAUGAACCCCUGACAACGUCGUAUUUACUCGGCCUUUUACUUUUAAGUUCGGGCUGCAAAAAUUUGGGAAAGCCCAAUCAGCUAGUGACCUUAGCUACUAAUGUAUCGAUUCUUUUUUCCAAUGUUCGAACCAAUCAGCAUUGGUGCUUGUAAAGCGAAUGCACCAGCCCAGCUGUUAUACUGAUUUUUAUUAGCUAAGCGCGAAACCGACUGUUAUAUUAGGUGCAAAUAAAAAAAUGUAUGAUGGCUACCAUUCAAGGCAAAUAGCUGCAACGUGCCUUACAGUGACAGCAAAUACAAAUCUAAUGGACGAAGGAAGAGACGUCAAUGAAUACAAAUUAAAAAAAU